rnacentral:sRNA from 1 species
AUGUUUGGAAUAUUUGGUGCUACAAGCCCUAUUCUGAUACCUCCAUUCUGUGACCUUUUAGUAGUGGAUGCACCUUUGAAAUGCUAUAAUGCCACGGAUUGUGAAUCUUAUAGGGAGUGCCUACGUCAUAAAUAAAAAUAUU